rnacentral:rRNA from 1 species
AGAUUGAACGCUGGCGGCAGGCCUAACACAUGCAAGUCGAGCGGUAGAGAGGUGCUUGCACCUCUUGAGAGCGGCGGACGGGUGAGUAAAGCCUAGGAAUCUGCCUGGUAGUGGGGGAUAACGCUCGGAAACGGACGCUAAUACCGCAUACGUCCUACGGGAGAAAGCAGGGGACCUUCGGGCCUUGCGCUAUCAGAUGAGCCUAGGUCGGAUUAGCUAGUUGGUGAGGUAAUGGCUCACCAAGGCGACGAUCCGUAACUGGUCUGAGAGGAUGAUCAGUCACACUGGAACUGAGACACGGUCCAGACUCCGUACGGGAGCAGCAGUACGGGAAUA